rnacentral:rRNA from 1 species
UGGGGGAUUUUGCACAAUGGGCGCAAGCCUGAUGCAGCGACGCCGCGUGAGGGAUGAAGGCCUUCGGGUUGUAAACCUCUUUCGCUGGGUUGAAAGGCCAUGCUUUGGGUGUGGUUGAUUUGAACUGGUAAAGAAGUACCGGCUAACUACGUGCCAGCAGCCGCGGUAAUACGUAGGGUACUAGCGUUGUCCGGAUUUAUUGGGCGUAAAGGGCUUGUAGGUGGUUUGUCGCGUCUGUCGUGAAAUCCUGUGGCUUAACCAUGGGCUUGCGGUGGGUACGGGCAGGCUUGAGUGCGGUAGGGGAGACUGGAAUUCCUGGUGUAGCGGUGGAAUGCGCAGAUAUCAGGAGGAACACCGGUGGCGAAGGCGGGUCUCUGGGCCGUUACUGACACUGAGGAGCGAAAGCGUGGGGAGCGAACAGGA